rnacentral:misc_RNA from 2 species
CAGAGUUUACAACUCCCAAACCCAAAUGUGAACAUACCAAUCGUUGCUUCGGCGGACCCGCCCCGGCGUCCGGAUGGCCCCACAGGCCGUCCGCGGCCCGGACCCAGGCGGCCGCCGGAGACCAAACCAAAACUUUUUGUAUUCUCAGUUUCUUCUGAAUCCGCCGCAAGGCAAAACAAAUGAAUCAAAACUUUCAACAACGGAUCUCUUGGUUCUGGCAUCGAUGAAGAACGCAGCGAAAUGCGAUAAGUAAUGUGAAUUGCAGAAUUCAGUGAAUCAUCGAAUCUUUGAACGCACAUUGCGCCCGCCAGCAUUCUGGCGGGCAUGCCUGUUCGAGCGUCAUUUCAACCCUCGAGCUCCCUUUGGGGAGCCCGGCUGUUGGGGAUCGGCUGUACCGCCGGCCCCGAAAUGGAGUGGCGGCCCGUCCGCGGCGACCUCUGCGUAGUAGCAACACCUCGCACCGGAACCCCGACGUGGCCACGCCGUAAAACACCCCACUUUCUGAAC